AUCGCUUCUCGGCCUUUUGGCUAAGAUCAAAGUGUAGUAUCUCUUCUUAUCAGCUUAAUUUCUGAUACGGUCCCUAUUUUGGGGCCACUAAUAUUAAACUGAUUUUUAGAAAGAGGCGAAGUAUCAGGGGCUUGCUCCACUUUUACCCUGGGUUGGCCUGGUAUUUGUAUCACCCGGGAGAUACAAAAAAG